rnacentral:lncRNA from 1 species
AUUCUCCUGCCUCAGCCUCCCGAGUAGCUGGGACUACAGGAAACCCAAAGGUUUGUGAGAGGAUGGGAUUUGGAGGGAGCCAUUUCCUCAUCAGGAAAGGAGAAAAAGGAGAAGUCUUAACGUAAAGGACUGAAGUUCAGAACCUCAGGACUGUCUGUACACAAGGACAGUCCACAGCAACAUUGUAAAGAAAUUGCUACAGCCAUUCCAACCUUCAGCAGCCGCCAUCUUGAUCAGUCAGCAGCCAUCAACAUCAAGGCAAGAACCUCCUUCAGCAAAAAAGAACCCUGACUAAUACAGAUUUUGGUACCAGGAGUGGGGUC